UCAUUAAAUCAGUUAUAGUUUAUUUGAUGGUUCCUUACUACUUGGAUAACCGUGGUAAUUCUAGAGCUAAUACAUGCACAAAGUCCCGACUUUUCGGAAGGGAUGUAUUUAUUAGAUCCAAAACCAAUGCGAGUCCUCGGGCUCGGUUCCUUGGUGAUUCAUGAUAACUGCUCGAACCGUAUGGCCCUUGCGCCGACGGUGCUUCAUUCAAAUUUCUGCCCUAUCAACUUUCGAUGGUACGGUAGUGGCCUACCAUGGUUGCAACGGGUGACGGAGAAUUAGGGUUCGAUUCCGGAGAGGGAGCCUGAGAAACGGCUACCACAUCCAAGGAAGGCAGCAGGCGCGCAAAUUACCCAAUCCCGACUCGGGGAGGUAGUGACAAUAAAUAACAA
rnacentral:rRNA from 2 species